AAUUUCAUCUUGAAUUGUAAUUCCCAGGUGCCAAGGGCGGGACCUGGUGGGAGGUGAUUGGAUCAUAGGGGUGGUUCUUGUUCCCCCAUGCUGUUAGAAUUCUGAUAGUGAGUUCGUUCUCAGGAGAGCUGUUGUUUUUCUAAGUGUUUGGCAGUUCCCCUCCCCAUGCUCUCUCUCUCUCUUGCCACCUUGAUAAGAAGGUGCUUGCCUCUCCUCCGCCUUCUGCCAUGAUUAUAACUUUCCUGAGGCCUCUACAGCCAUGCAGAACUACUGUCUCUGGAAAAGUGAACUCCAAAGCUUACUUCAUGUGUUGCCAAAUCUGUGCGUAAAAUGGUGAACCAAUAAAUCGACUGGUGGCUCUAUCUUCACGACACAAAUGAUGAAGCUGACUCAUCUUCCUAUUGACUCUUCUGACUCUUGUUUGGCACGGUGUUUUAUAUGUGGGGAGAUAUUUAUGUCCCCUUUGCUCACUGAUUUGAAGUCAUAAUUGCUUCUA
rnacentral:lncRNA from 1 species